rnacentral:rRNA from 1 species
UAGGGAAUCUUCGGCAAUGGACGAAAGUCUGACCGAGCAACGCCGCGUGAGUGAAGAAGGUUUUCGAAUCGUAAAACUCUGUUGGUAGAGAAGAACGUUGGUGAGAGUGGAAAGCUUCAUCAAGUGACGGUAACUACCCAGAAAGGGACGGCUAACUACGUGCCAC